rnacentral:rRNA from 1 species
AGUGAACGCUGGCGGUAGGCCUAACACAUGCAAGUCGAACGGCAGCACAGUAAGAGCUUGCUCUUACGGGUGGCGAGUGGCGGACGGGUGAGGAAUACAUCGGAAUCUACUUUUUCGUGGGGGAUAACGUAGGGAAACUUACGCUAAUACCGCAUACGACCUACGGGUGAAAGCAGGGGAUCUUCGGAACUUGCGCGAUUGAAUGAGCCGAUGUCGGAUUAGCUAGUUGGCGGGGUAAAGGCCCACCAAGGCGACGAUCCGUAGCUGGUCUGAGAGGAUGAUCAGCCACACUGGAACUGAGACACGGUCCAGACUCCUACGGGAGGCAGCAGUGGGGAAUAUUGGACAAUGGGCGCAAACCUGAUCCAGCCAUACCGCGUGGGUGAAGAAGACCUUCGGGUUGUAAAGCCCUUUUGUUGGGAAAGAAAAGCAGCAGGUUAAUACCCCGCUGUUCUGACGGUACCCAAAGAAUAAGCACCGGCUAACUUCGUG